rnacentral:rRNA from 1 species
GCAGUCGACGGUAACAGGAAGCAGCUUGCUGCUUUGCUGACGAGUGGCGGACGGGUGAGUAAUGUCUGGGAAACUGCCUGAUGGAGGGGGAUAACUACUGGAAACGGUAGCUAAUACCGCAUAACGUCGCAAGACCAAAGAGGGGGACCUUCGGGCCUCUUGCCAUCGGAUGUGCCCAGAUGGGAUUAGCUAGUAGGUGGGGUAAAGGCUCACCUAGGCGACGAUCCCUAGCUGGUCUGAGAGGAUGACCAGCCACACUGGAACUGAGACACGGUCCAGACUCCUACGGGAGGCAGCAGUGGGGAAUAUUGCACAAUGGGCGCAAGCCUGAUGCAGCCAUGCCGCGUGUAUGAAGAAGGCCUUCGGGUUGUAAAGUACUUUCAGCGGGGAGGAAGGGAGUAAAGUUAAUACCUUUGCUCAUUGACGUUACCCGCAGAAGAAGCACCGGCUAACUCCGUGCCAGCAGCCGCGGUAAUACGGAGGGUGCAAGCGUUAAUCGGAAUUACUGGGCGUAAAGCGCACGCAGGCGGUUUGUUAAGUCAGAUGUGAAAUCCCCGGGCUCAACCUGGGAACUGCAUCUGAUACUGGCAAGCUUGAGUCUCGUAGAGGGGGGUAGAAUUCCAGGUGUAGCGGUGAAAUGCGUAGAGAUCUGGAGGGAUACCGGUGGCGA